CCUACGGGACGCAGCAGUGGGGAAUAUUGCACAAUGGGGGAAACCCUGAUGCAGCGACGCCGCGUGAGUGAAGAAGUAUUUCGGUAUGUAUAGCUCUAUCAGCAGGGAAGAUAAUGAUGGUACUUUACUAAGAAGCUCCGGCUCACUCCGUGCCAGCAGCCGCGGUAUUACGUUUGGAGCAAGCGUUAUCCGGAUUUACUGGGUGUAAAGGGAGUGCAGACGGCAAGGCAAGUCUGAUGUGAAAGUCCGAGGCUCUACCUCGGGACUGCAUUGGAAACUGUCUGGCUAGAGUUCUGGAGAGUCUA
rnacentral:rRNA from 1 species